CAAAAGCCACGGACCCUCACCCCUUCAAAAAAGAAAAAAGAAACAAAAGUGAAUCCGGUGGCCCUUCUUCAUCUCUCUCUAACUUCUCACCUCAUUCAACCAAAAAAUCCUAAAGAUCCAACCUUUUAACAGUAAACCCGCAUAACCUCCUACCACGGAUUCGUUGACUACAGUGCAUGCCAGCACCCACGACUUGUCUGAUAACAACGUUUUCAGUAGCUUCUUCGCAGACAACGAUUUUUUUUGGGUUGUUGACAGAUUGAGACUACAAGAAGAUAAACCAAAGAAUUUUUUUAAAAGUUGUUCUCCCAACAUGAGUGUUGUUGCAUGUAGAAGUGAUCGCAAAAGGUGUUUCUUUGGUACAAAACAACAUUGGCCACUUGAUAAAGAAUCAAGCAUUACAUUCGGUGCAUACAAAGGACGGGUACACAUUUAAAUUAAUAUAUAAUUUGUGCUUUUUUUUAGUAACCAUGUAAAAAAUAAAUAAAUUACAUGUAACUGAAUUAGUAAAAUAUAUCAUGAUAAAAUAAAUGUAUGUGAUAAGUGUUUUUUUUAGGAUGAUGUGUUGGUUCUAGAUAGAAUAAUUACUAGAUAUGGUACUGAAUUAAAAUAUGAAAUUGUCCUAAUUGAUCUCUGUGACAAUUGCAUCAAGUUUAAAAUAAAAACUCGAGAAGAAAGAAUCUGGAUACCUUCACCUGAAAUAGAGAAAUUACUUGUUUUCUAUAACUUCAGAAGCAUGGUGAGGAUUUGUUUAAUGUAUGUCACAAAUGGAAUAUUCUUUAUGGCUCCUCUAGAUAAGCGAAAUAAUCCAAUCUAUAUAGAUUUUUAUGAAUCUCACUAUGUAAAAGAUAUUAUUGGGAUAUCUUUGUUAAAAGUUAUCCAGGAUAAAUUAGGGUUAAAUUACUUUGAUGCAUUGGAUGAUGUUGCUUCUGGUAUAGAAGAUAAUGGGAUGCAUGAGAAUA